rnacentral:tRNA from 1 species
GGUUGUGUAGUUUAUUUAAAACGGUUGAUUGUUAAUCAGCAAACAAGAGUUCUUCUUUACAAUUA